rnacentral:rRNA from 1 species
AAUCAACGCUGGCGGCGUGCCUCAGACAUGCAAGUCGAACGAGAACCUCCCUUCGGGGAGGGGACAGUGGCGCACGGGUGAGUAACACGUGGGUAAUUUACCUUUGGGUGGGGAACAACAGCCGGAAACGGCUGCUAAUACCGCAUAAUGCAGCGGCUCGACAUCGAGACAGUUGUUAAAGCGGGGGAUCGCAAGACCUCGCGCCUGAAGAGAAGCCUGCGGCGGAUUAGCAGUUGGUAGGGUAAUGGCCUACCAAGGCGACGAUCUGUAACCGGCCUGAGAGGGCGGUCGGUCACACUGACACUGACAUACGGGUCAGACUCCUACGGGAGGCAGCAGUCGGGAAUUUUGGGCAAUGGGCGAAAGCCUGACCCAGCAACGCCGCGUGAAGGAUGAAG